rnacentral:lncRNA from 1 species
GAGCAUUCCAAGACCAACAGAAAUGAUUUCAGGGAGCCAAGUCUUCAGGGUUUGCAUAAUUGCUAAACACUGUACUUCUCAACUUUCAUAAGACAAGGCCAUCUUCAAAAUUUAUUUAUGAGAUGAAUAAUUGAGCCUGAAAAUUUGAUUCUGACAUUUCCUGUCUGUUGUGGAUCUCUGAAGAGCUGUCUUAAUCACAUUUUUAGUAGUGUCCAAGAAUGACAUUCUUCUGACUCCUUUUAAGCAGAGACUGCAGAAAAUUUCUGGGGAAAUUCCAAGAGGCUAUGGAAACACCUCUUACUUAGCUACUGCUGACUGGAAAUCUGGUACCCCCACAAAGUGCUCUGAGGUGCUCAGCAGGGGAAAAAAGCCCUCUAAAAUCAAGGUAUGUUGUUCUUGGGAUUAUUUCCUAUUUUUUAGUAGAAGACUCUUCUUGAAUGUUCAUUUUAAGGCAGCGCUGGAGAAAAAUCAGUAAAUAAACUAGCCAUCAGUGAGUUCUUCCACUCUAUCAUUUUAGGGAAAGACCUCAAUAUUAUAUAGAUUAGGGUUUUUGGUGUGUUUGGCUUUGGGGUCAUCCUCUUUGACGUCAUCAAGGUCAUUGUGUUAUUCCACUAACUUUGGGGCUUGGUGGUAUGUGUUCUGGCUGGCUCUGUGACUUCCUGCCUAGCUCACCUUUGCUAGUGCUCUAGGCUUUAUCUCUGUUGUCUGCCUUAGCCUCUGCUAUGCAGGGCAGUGGGGGCAGGUGGAAGGUCAUGAAUUAGUACACAGAGAUUUAUGUCAGAGGUUCAGCUCUUACUGUACUGUUUUGUUGGGAGAGUGGUGUAAAGUGAGGACUGAUCCCCCCUCUACUCUCUUGGGAAAUUGAGUCUUACUACCUUUAUCCUCAGUGUACUUGCUUUUGCAUGUUUGAAAAAGAGCAUUUUGUAAUGGAUGGAAAUAUACGAGUGUGUGCUUUUAUAUUACUUUUGUUGUUGAGACCUCUCUCAAUCUUAUUUCUGUUAUCUGUAAAAUAGGAAUAACACUCUGGCAUCUUCAUACCAUACCUGAAUUAAGACUUUGCCUUGUUCACUGUAUCUAGGAUAAUGCUUGGUGCUUUGUAACUACUUAAU